CCUACGGGAGGCUGCAGUGGGGGAUAUUGCACAAUGGGGGGAACCCUGAUGCAGCGACGCCGCGUGGGUGAAGAAGCGCCUCGGCGCGUAAAGCCCUGUCAGCAGGGAAGAAAAUGACGGUACCUGAAGAAGAAGCCCCGGCUAACUACGUGCCAGCAGCCGCGGGAAUACGUAGGGGGCAAGCGUUAUCCGGAUUUACUGGGUGUAAAGGGGGCGCAGAGGGGGAUGCCAGCCAGGAGGGAAAGCCCGGGGCCCAACCCCGGGACUGCUCUUGAAACUGCGUGGCUGGAGUGCAGGAGGGGCAGGCGGAAUUCGUGGUGUAGCGGUGAAAUGCAUAGAUAUCAGGAGGAACACCGAUGGCGAAGGCAGCCUGCUGGACUGCAACUGACGUUGAGGCCCGAAAGCGUGGGGAGCGAACAGGAUUAGAUACCCUUGUAGUC
rnacentral:rRNA from 1 species